rnacentral:misc_RNA from 1 species
CGGCUGAGUACUUUUUGGCUUCCAAAACUUCGUCAAUUGGAGGUGAGGGUUCCAGUCAUAGUAGUGGGCUGUAAACUGGAUUUGAGAGAUGAGAAUCAGCAGGUGAGCUUGGAGCAGGUUAUGUCCCCAAUAAUGCAGCAGUUUCGAGAAAUUGAAACAUGCAUUGAGUGUUCAGCGUUUAAACAUAUUCAGAUUCCUGAGGUCUUUUACUAUGCCCAGAAAGCUGUACUUCACCCAACAGGUCCACUUUUUGAUCAAGAAACUCAGACUCUAAAGCCUAGAUGCAUCCGG